GACGAACGCUGGCGGCGUGCUUAACACAUGCAAGUCGAACGGAAAGGUCCUGCUUUUGUGGGGUGCUCGAGUUGCGACCGGGUGAGUAACACUUGAGUACCCUGCCCUUGCCUUUGGGAUAACUUCAGGCAACUUGGGCUCAUCCCGCAUAGGAGCUCCUGCUGCAUGGUGGGGGUUGGAUAGUUUCGGCGGUUGGGGAUGGACUCGCGGCUUAUCAGCUUGUUGGUGGGGUAGUGGCGUACCAAGGCUUUGACGGGUAGCAGGCCUGCGAGGGUAACCGGACAAAUUGGGAUUGAGAUACGACCCAGACUAGUACGGGAGGCAGCAGAGGAGAAGAGAGCAUAAUGGGAGGAAGCAUGAUGCAGCAAAGCAGUGUGCGGGAUGACGGCAAUCGGGUUGGAAACCGAUUUCGCCUGUGACGAAGCGUGAGUGACGGUAAUGGGUAAAGAAGCACCGGCUAACUACGUG
rnacentral:rRNA from 1 species